UCCCUGGUGGCUCAGAUGGUAAAGAAUCUGCCUGCAAUGCAGGAGACCCAGGUUCAAUCCCUGGGUUGGGAA
rfam:TPA: Bos taurus chromosome 18, whole genome shotgun sequence.